UGAGUAACGCGUGGGUAACCUGCCUUACACAGGGGGAUAACACUGGGAAACCAGUGCUAGUACCGCAUAACAUCAUUUUAUGGCAUCAUGAAAUGAUCAAAGGAGAAAUCCGGUGUAAGAUGGGCCCGCGUCCGAUUAGCUAGUUGGUGAGGUAAUGGCUCACCAAGGCAGCGAUCGGUAGCCGGACUGAGAGGUUGGCCGGCCACAUUGGGACUGAGACACGGCCCAGACUCCUACGGGAGGCAGCAGUGGGGAAUAUUGCGCAAUGGGGGGAACCCUGACGCAGCGACGCCGCGUGAAGGAAGAAGGCCUUCGGGUUGUAAACUUCUUUGAUUGGGGAAGAAAAAUGACGGUACCCAAAGAACAAGCCACGGCUAACUACGUGCCAGCAGCCGCGGUAAUACGUAGGUGGCGAGCGUUAUCCGGAAUUACUGGGUGUAAAGGGCGUGUAGGCGGGGAUGCAAGUCAGAUGUGAA
rnacentral:rRNA from 1 species